GUGGCCCUAAUGACUUGACCAAAUAUGGAGACAGCUACCCAACAGAAAGCCAACUACAAAUGUUUAUCAUUUCAACACCUUCUGUUACUAGCAUGAUUAGUAGUAGAACCAAAAGUUGACAAUGUAGCUUAAGCAGAGAUACUUUUUGCCAACUAUGUAUCAUGGCUAUUCACUUACUCUUGAACUAUACAUAGUAAUAAAUAUUUGAAAACCCC
rnacentral:lncRNA from 1 species